UACGUAGGGUCCGAGCGUUGUCCGGAAUUAUUGGGCGUAAAGGGCUCGUAGGCGGUUUGUCGCGUCGGGAGUGAAAACACGGGGCUUAACCCCGUGCCUGCUUCCGAUACGGGCAGACUAGAGGUAUGCAGGGGAGAACGGAAUUCCUGGUGUAGCGGUGAAAUGCGCAGAUAUCAGGAAGAACACCCGUGGCGAAGGCGGCUCUCUGGGACGGUACUGACGCUGAGACGCGAAAGCGUGGGGAGCGAACAGG
rnacentral:rRNA from 1 species